AAGUUAAACACCGCGUCAGCAGAAAAGCCUUGGUGGUCCACUAACGAGCUGGGUCUUUUUAGUAAACAGAUUGUGGGACAAAGGCUGACGAACACGCCAGUCCCCUAUCAGUACAAGCAGCAACGGACAAUGAACAGCACCCAAAACAAAACACGACCAGUCUACGUGCACAUAACUUAAUCCAAAGGUGCAGAAUAGGAUAAGAGAUGGCUCAUUCACCACCCAACACAGUCACAACAGUGUGUACAGAAGAUAACACCCUCAACAGAAGAGUCCACGUGUUUCACUUGAAAAUACGUCACGGUAUGGAAGGAAAAUGCAUCAUGACUUCUGAUUCACACUGGCCCUUUAUCAAAGUGGCGUGGAAAAGAGUGCAGAUUUGACCGUCGUGAAUGAUAUACGAGCUACUCCAUGACUGAUUUAGGAAACUGCUGUACAAUGAUGAAACAAGCAGUGAUUUGGGUGCAAUAGGCUAGUUGCACAAGAUGGCACUUCCAGUAUUUCAGCAAUGUGUGCACAACAGCAUCCGGUGGUGUCUCAUCUGGUACUACACAUUGAAUUUCUACACAACAUUUUGGCUGGAUCUGCCUAAAGAUCACGAUAUCCUCAUCAGCACGAUGAUAUAUACUUGUAGUAUAUACAUGUUCUCCUACAAUGCUGCAUCACUUUUGUGCAGUGGCAGCAGACUCUGCAGCUUCUCUUUAGCGAUGUGCUACUAGAAUCAUGUACAGAAAACACUUGUGAUGAACUUAAUUGUCGUGGGAGUGAAAUUUGUACAUGAUUAUAGUUGCAAACUACUUAAGAGAAGCAGCAAAAUCUGCCCCUCACAAAUGUGAUGUAUCACUUCUGGUAAAGCAGAACUCUUCUGCAGUGCUUUUGGUAUUUACGGUAGAGUUUUCUGUCUUUGCAGAAAAAAAAAUGGUGUGGGUGGGGGUUUUGUACAUGAUUGAGAAGUAAGGCAAGUUGAGGGCAAGUAUGAAUUACACGAAGUCUGAACAUAAGCAAUAAAUGUAUGCUGGUAAUGUAACGUGAUUUGAGAGUGGAUCUGCAAUAAUACUGUCUACAUUUCACAUUAACUUUAAAGGAUAGCAGGCGUCCAACAGCUAAAUGUUAUUGAUUGAACUUUCCUUCUUAAUUAUAUAAAUCGCCACCUACAUUCUGAAGCCCUACUCUCUUUUACUCAUUGGUGCUGAUGAGAACAUCUGAAUGAUGUGAUAUACAAGGAAGUGAUGCCCUAAUUCAUGCGGAUGUCUUGAUAGUGAGCCAAUAAAAGAAAAGUGAUCAGCAGCUCAUGAGCCAAUAGUUGUCCUCACAGGCAGAGCUUGGAGUCGAGCAGGAUGUGCACUGCCCCCCUACUGGACAGAGCUGAAAUAUGUUUAUAGAGUUAAAAUCACAACAAUUGAAAAGAAAAAAAAUGUAAAAUUAACAAAAUGUUGUGGCCUUUUUUUCAGAUAAAGUGAUGUGAUGGUGUGUUGUGGUUAUUUUUAUAAAAAUCUGGCUACUUGAGCCAUACUGUCAUGUGAAGAAGUAAGUGCACCCCAUAAAAUGUUUCUCUUUCAGUAUUUGAUCUUUAUUUGAACAGCAUAUAUAGAUAAGUGUUAUGUAAUAGAACAAAUAAAUAAUAGAAAUUUGACAUAAUAAUGAACUGAGAUGUCAUUUUUGUCCAUUGAAAAAGGAAAAAGUAAAUACACCCCUGGCUUCAGGAACUGGUAUUGCCCCCUUUGGCAGAAACAACUUUAUGUAAGUUUCCUAUAACUUUUUCUGGCAUCUAAUGGGAAAAAAAGAUUUGCCCACUUCUCUGUGCAGAAUUCUUGUAACUGUGUAAUGUUUGAGGGUUUUCUUGAAUGUAAAGCCCAUUUAAAAUUAUCCCACAGCAUUUCAAUGGGGUUCAGAUCUAAGCUUUGACAAGGCCAUUCCAUAACCCUCUGUUUCUUCCUAUUGAGCCAUUUCUUGGUGGCUUUACUUACAUAUUUGGGAUCAUUAUCCUGUUGGAAGGUCCACUUCGUCAGCUUCACAGAUUUUCACAGAUGGUCUCACAUUCACCUCAAUCAGUCUCUGCUAUGAAAGAGAAUUCAUUGUCAAUUCUAUAAGUGCAAGUUGGCCAGGCCCUGAAGCAGCAAAGCAGCCCCAAAACAUACCAUUUCCACUACCAUGUCUUACAGUUGGUGAAAGAGUCUUCUGAUCAAAUGCUGUCUCUGGUUUUUGCCAAACAUGGCUUCUGGUACUGUG